GGGGGGGGGGGGGGAAAGGAUGAAGUACAGUAGUGAGUAGUCGAUUUCUGUUUUUGCAUCUGGCGAGGAUUUGUGAACAGCAAAGGGUUCAGCUCCUCUUCUUAGUUUUUUCCGCUUUUUAAAAAUAAAUCGUAGCAUUAACACAUCGUUAGGUGUUGUCUGUUUUACACGAAUUGUGGGUUUACUGUGGAAAAUCUCCGCUUCAGAGGUUUGAUAGUUAUGGAGACAGGAAAGGCUGAGAUUUACCACGAGAAGCAAAGAUUGCAGUUCUGCCUUUUACACUCCCUCAAUAAUCUCUUCCAGGAUAAAGAUGCAUUUACACGUGCGGAUUUGAAUGUUAUUGCUGAAAGACUUCACAUUGAUGAUCCCAACAAGGGAACAUGGACUCCGUUGUCUGCAAUUUUUAAGCCCCAUCAUAAUCUGCUUACAGGAAACUUUGACAUCAAUGUUCUUAUUGCUGCACUCGAAGAGAAAGGAAAAAGGGUUGUUUGGCAUGAUCGGCGAAACGGAGCUUCUACUAUUGAUCUUGAGGGCUCAGGAAACGAAUUAAUGGGUAUUGUGCUUAAUAUUCCAGUGAAGAAGUAUGUUGGGCUUUGGAGAAGUAGACACUGGGUUACCUUGCGAACGGUUGGAGGUGUUUGGUAUAACUUAGAUAGUGAUUUUUCCACUCCUUAUCAGUUUAAAGAUACAGAAGAAGUGAGGAAUUUCUUGGAUUACAUAAUAGCUGCUGGUGCUGAAGUUUUGCUCGUCAUGAAUAAUGAAAAAUGAGCCUUUGGAAUUUACGAAGAAAAACGGUUAACUGGUGUUUGUAUUUACUUCUGCAUAUUUUUGCAUACUAAAGAGACGUUUUUGGAAUGUAAAAGAUCAACAGACAGCAAAGUAACAAUGCCAAUUUUUUUCUGCCAACCCGUUGUAAUAUCUCUUAAUGGACUCACCGUUUGUUUGACAUCUGGUGCUGAAGUUGACAGGUCCAAAUCAAUCAUAUGCAGAAUACUUGUUGAACACUUGUAGAUAAUAAUACAUUUGAUCGUAAGGUCUGGAUGUUGGCAUGUGUUUAAAGACAGGAUCCAUGGAUUCUCAAGUAGCCACUUGUCUCGAAUAGUCUUCUGGGUUCAUCUCCAAUGUGAAUGCAGUAAUGAAGAUACCAUCUAGAGUUUCAAUGUACAGUGACCUGAUGUCUUCCUUUGAAAGGUUGAUUGGUUAUUGCCAGGCAAAAAGAAGAUAUGGCAAAACUAGGAAAACUUGUCAGCUUUAUUUUUCGACUGCUGUGGGUAUUUCUUUUCUUUUCUUUUCUUUUCUUUUUUUUGUAUCCAAAAUUCAGAGGCUUCAUGCAGGCUUUGAUCCUUAAGACAUCCUUGCUUAAAGAUAAAAUGCAUGGCUUUGAGCUUUAGAAUUCCUUCCAGUGAACUGUGGAAACGGAUUACCGAAAGAUUGAUC